rnacentral:lncRNA from 1 species
CCACGCAGAGUUUGUUACGGAGAGUAGUAGCGUUAGGGGCCGUUCAGGGCCACGUGGAGUUUGUUACGGAGAGUGGAGUGGUGUCCGUUGUCGUGACUUGUCAGAGAGUGGUAGAGCUCGGAGAGUGGAGUGGUGUCCGUUGUCGCGACUUGUCAGAGAGUGGUGGAGCCCGGAGAGUGGAGUGGUGUCCGUUGUCGCAACUUGCCAGA